rnacentral:rRNA from 1 species
UACGGAGGGUGCAAGCGUUAUCCGGAUUCACUGGGUUUAAAGGGUGCGUAGGUGGGCUGGUAAGUCAGUGGUGAAAUCUCCAGGCUUAACUUGGAAGCUGCCAUUGAUACUAUCAGUCUUGAAUACCGUGGAGGUCAGCGGAAUAUGUCAUGUAGCGGUGAAAUGCUUAGAUAUGACAUAGAACACCAAUUGCGAAGGCAGCUGGCUACACGAAUAUUGACACUGAUGCACGAAAGCGUGGGGAUCAAACAGG